UCUUGGAGUAAAGUUGAUUAACAUGGACUUCGGAGUGCUGCAUAAAGACUACGGUGUAUAAUGUGAUUAAGAAGGAAAAAUACAUUAAAGAUGCUGGAAUUAAAUCAGUUUUCGAUAGAAUUGAUCCAUCAGAUGCAGCUUCAAACAUGUCUUUAUUUAUGAUGCGCUUGACUUGGUGUCUACACGGCUACUUAUAUCCAACAUCAAAAUACCUCCGUAAAGAUAAAGAUGGAAAGAAAACGUAUGGGAAAUACACCAUAAAAGACUCCCAAGAAUCGUCAAUAUUCCUCGCACGAAGUAUCCAAGAAGUAGACAUGCACUUAAAUUUCUUAGAAAAGAGAAAUGAGAAUAUUCAACCUUUUAUUUUUGUUGUUGGAGAUGACAAUUUAGAAGAUAAUGACUACAAUUUCUAUGUUUAUUUAGACCAUGCAUUGCUACAUUUUGUAGAUUUCCAGCGAGCACUAGAUACUUGCUUCAAAAGCUUUUUCUUAUUUAAUUUAGAAUUUCCCGGAGCAUCCAAUCAGUUCUGGAUCUUUGUUCAAGAGUACUUCUAUGACAUGAAAUCAGCUCACACAAAAAAUUUUUCAAAAAUACUAAAUAUUUUAAGCGAUUUAAAUUAUACCGAGAACUGAUUUAUAUAUAAAUUAUCUACAUUUAAUAUUUAAUUUUGUAUUUGAAUAUAAUUCAAACGCUUAAAGCGUCCUAUAUUCAUGUACAUUUUUAAAUUUUAUCACAUUCAUUUAUUAAUUCAUUAUUCUAAGGAAAUAUUGAAAUCUAUAUUCAUUGUAAA